CCUCAGCUGAACUUCUACUGCAGUUAUUUCUACCAUUCUUUGAUGUUCUUUCUUUUAGGCUGGUGAGAAAAAGGAGCAUGAACAUAAGAAUGAACGGAAACUGGAUUAGUGAGAGAUUUCCUUUGCUAAAAUAAAGUAGCAUUAAGAACUUC